UUGAUCCUGGCUCAGAUUGAACGCUGGCGGCAGGCCUAACACAUGCAAGUCGAGCGGAUGACGGGAGCUUGCUCCUUGAUUCAGCGGCGGACGGGUGAGUAAUGCCUAGGAAUCUGCCUGGUAGUGGGGGACAACGUUUCGAAAGGAACGCUAAUACCGCAUACGUCCUACGGGAGAAAGCAGGGGACCUUCGGGCCUUGCGCUAUCAGAUGAGCCUAGGUCGGAUUAGCUAGUUGGUGAGGUAAUGGCUCACCAAGGCGACGAUCCGUAACUGGUCUGAGAGGAUGAUCAGUCACACUGGAACUGAGACACGGUCCAGACUCCUACGGGAGGCAGCAGUGGGGAAUAUUGGACAAUGGGCGAAAGCCUGAUCCAGCCAUGCCGCGUGUGUGAAGAAGGUCUUCGGAUUGUAAAGCACUUUAAGUUGGGAGGAAGGGCAGUAAGUUAAUACCUUGCUGUUUUGACGUUACCGACAGAAUAAGCACCGGCUAACUCUGUGCCAGCAGCCGCGGUAAUACAGAGGGUGCAAGCGUUAAUCGGAAUUACUGGGCGUAAAGCGCGCGUAGGUGGUUCGUUAAGUUGGAUGUGAAAGCCCCGGGCUCAACCUGGGAACUGCAUCCAAAACUGGCGAGCUAGAGUACGGUAGAGGGUGGUGGAAUUUCCUGUGUAGCGGUGAAAUGCGUAGAUAUAGGAAGGAACACCAGUAGCGAAGGCGACCACCUGGACUGAUACUGACA
rnacentral:rRNA from 1 species